UGGCCUCCCAAAGUGCUGGAAUUACAGGCACAAGCUACUGCGCCCUGCCAGCCACUGCGCCCAGCCUGCCUUGCAAGUUUAAUUGGAAUGCCAGAGCACCUUAGCCUACGGCGGUGAGGCUUGCUGAAACUCAAGUUCCAAACAAGGAGACGGACAAUUUCUCUUUGGCUAGAGGUUCUAAAUGCUCCCUCUGUGGUCAUCAGCUGAGUUCUGCAAAGUGUUGUUUUCCACUGUGACAGGGCAGCAGUGAAUUCCAAUGCAAAGUCCCAUAAUCACUGCACUUCUCCUCCCCCAAGCAUACAGAUUCUCCAUAUCAUGCAGUUCCUGCUAAGGAAUGGAAAAGAUAAUUUCACUGUCCUUUCCCUCUCAUUGGGAGUGAAAUAGAAUUCCUUCCUUUAGUAAUGUUCAGCUUGGCCAUGUGACUCACUUUGGCUAAUAGAAGGUAAUGAUGUUGCUACAAGCAGAGACAUGGCUUGGAUCCUAUUAUGAUCUUACGGUUUACCAGGAGAGGAAUAUAUCCUAGAUUGUCUGAACCUCACAAUGGAACAUGAAGAGACCAUUUGCCUUGUAGGUGCGGGUUCAAGGAAGAUGAGACAAAUAUGGAAUAAGCUUGUAUCCAUUCCUGGAGCCUGGAGCCUGGAGCCUGGGGCCCAGAUACUGAAGCCUUGAGUCUAAUUUAGUCCAGCUGAUUUUCAGCUAACCCUCGCACACAUAAACAUGAGAAUAAAUGAGUUUUCUUUCAACUCAAAA